rnacentral:rRNA from 3 species
GUGACUGCGUACCUUUUGUAUAAUGGGUCAGCGACUUAUAUUCUGUAGCAAGGUUAACCGUAUAGGGGAGCCGAAGGGAAACCGAGUCUUAACUGGGCGUUAAGUUGCAGGGUAUAGACCCGAAACCCGGUGAUCUAGCCAUGGGCAGGUUGAAGGUUGGGUAACACUAACUGGAGGACCGAACCGACUAAUGUUGAAAAAUUAGCGGAUGACCUGUGGCUGGGGGUGAAAGGCCAAUCAAACCGGGAGAUAGCUGGUUCUCCCCGAAAGCUAUUUAGGUAGCGCCUCGUGAACUCAUCUUCGGGGGUAGAGCACUGUUUCGGCUAGGGGGCCAUCCCGGCUUACCAACCCGAUGCAAACUACGAAUACCGAAGAAUGUUAUCACGGGAGACACACGGCGGGUGCUAACGUCCGUCGUGAAGAGGGAAACAACCCAGACCGCCAGCUAAGGUCCCAAAGUCAUGGUUAAGUGGGAAACGAUGUGGGAAGGCACAGACAGCCAGGAUGUUGGCUUAGAAGCAGCCAUCAUUUAAAGAAAGCGUAAUAGCUCACUGGUCGAGUCGGCCUGCGCGGAAGAUGUAACGGGGCUAAACCAUGCACCGAAGCUGCGGCAGCGACACUAUGUGUUGUUGGGUAGGGGAGCGUUCUGUAAGCCGUUGAAGGUGUGCUGUGAGGCAUGCUGGAGGUAUCAGAAGUGCGAAUGCUGACAUAAGUAACGAUAAAGCGGGUGAAAAGCCCGCUCGCCGGAAGACCAAGGGUUCCUGUCCAACGUUAAUCGGGGCAGGGUGAGUCGACCCCUAAGGCGAGGCCGAAAGGCGUAGUCGAUGGGAAACAGGUUAAUAUUCCUGUACUUGGUGUUACUGCGAAGGGGGGACGGAGAAGGCUAUGUCAGCCGGGCGACGGUUGUCCCGGUUUAAGCAUGUAGGCGGAGGUUCCAGGUAAAUCCGGUACCUU